UGGGGAAUAUUGGACAAUGGGGGCAACCCUGAUCCAGCAAUGCCGCGUGUGUGAAGAAGGUCCUCGGAUUGUAAAGCACUUUCGACGGGGACGAUGAUGACGGUACCCGUAGAAGAAGCCCCGGCUAGCUUCGUGCCAGCAGCCGCGGUAAUACGAAGGGGGCUAGCGUUGCUCGGAAUGACUGGGCGUAAAGGGCGUGUAGGCGGUUUACACAGUCAGAUGUGAAAUCCCCGGGCUUAACCUGGGAGCUGCAUUUGAUACGUGUAGACUAGAGUGUGAGAGAGGGUUGUGGAAUUCCCAGUGUGAGGUGAAA
rnacentral:rRNA from 1 species